CAGGCCUUGACAUCCAAUGAACUUUCCAGAGAUGGAUUGGUGCCUUCGGGAACAUUGAGACAGGUGCUGCAUGGCUGUCGUCAGCUCGUGUCGUGAGAUGUUGGGUUAAGUCCCGUAACGAGCGCAACCCUUGUCCUUAGUUACCAGCACGUAAUGGUGGGCACUCUAAGGAGACUGCCGGUGACAAACCGGAGGAAGGUGGGGAUGACGUCAAGUCAUCAUGCCCCUUACGGCCUGGGCUACACACGUGCUACAAUGGUCGGUACAGAGGGUUGCCAAGCCGCGAGGUGGAGCUAAUCUCACAAAACCGAUCGUAGUCCGGAUCGCAGUCUGCAACUCGACUGCGUGAAGUCGGAAUCGCUAGUAAUCGCGAAUCAGAAUGUCGCGGUGAAUACGUUCCC
rnacentral:rRNA from 1 species